rnacentral:rRNA from 1 species
AGCGAACGCUGGCGGCAGGCCUAACACAUGCAAGUCGAACGAACCUUUCGGGGUUAGUGGCGGACGGGUGAGUAACACGUGGGAACGUGCCUUUAGGUUCGGAAUAACUCAGGGAAACUUGUGCUAAUACCGAAUGUGCCCUUCGGGGGAAAGAUUAAUCGCCUUUAGAGCGGCCCGCGUCUGAUUAGCUAGUUGGUUGAGGUAAUGGCUCACCAAGGCGACGAUCAGUAGCUGGUCUGAGAGGAUGAUCAGCCACAUUGGGACUGAGACACGGCCCAAACUCCUACGGGAGGCAGCAGUGGGGAAUCUUGCGCAAUGGGCGAAAGCCUGACGCAGCCAUGCCGCGUGAAUGAUGAAGGUCUUAGGAUUGUAAAGUUCUUUCACCGGGGACGAUAAUGACGGUACCCGGAGAAGAAGCCCCGGCUAACUUCGUG